UCGGGUGACUGCGUGCCUUUUGCAUAAUGAUCCUACGAGUUACUCCUCAUUAGCAAGGUUAAGUAGUUAAGCUACGUAGCCGAAGCGAAAGCAAGUCUGAAUAGGGCGUAUAGUUAGUGGGGGUAGACGCGAAACUUGGUGAUCUACCCAUGGGCAGGUUGAAGGGCGGGUAAGACCGCCUGGAGGACCGAACGCACCAACGUUGAAAAGUUGGGCGAUGACCUGUGGGGAGGAGUUAAAGUCUAAUCAAACCAGGAGAUAGCUCGUUCUUUCCGAAAUAGCUUUUGGGCUAGCCUCACGUAGCAACUGUUGGGGGUAGAGCUACUGGAUGCCUUUGGGGCCCGCAAGGGUACCCGGGGCAACCAAACUCCGAAUACCAACAGCCAAGGCGUGGGAGUCAGUCCAUGGGUGACAAUAUCCAUGGACAAAAGGAAAACAAUCCAGACCGCCAGCUAAGGUCCCUGAUCUCUGCUCAGUUAGAAAGGAAGUCAAAUUGCCGUGACAGCCAGGAUGUUGGCUUAGAAGCAGC
rnacentral:rRNA from 1 species